UGCCAGCAGCCGCGGUAAUACGGAGGGAGCGAGCGUUAAUCGGAAUUACUGGGCGUAGAGCGCACGUAGGCGGCUUUGUAAGUCGGAUGUGAAAGCCCUGGGCUUAACCUGGGAAUGGCAUUCGAUACUGCAGAGCUAGAGUAUGGUAGAGGGAAGUGGAAUUUCCGGUGUAGCGGUGAAAUGCGUAGAUAUCGGAAGGAACACCAGUGGCGAAGGCGACUCACUGGCUCGAUACUGACGCUGAGGUGCGAAAGUGUGGGGAGCAAACAGGAUUAGAUA
rnacentral:rRNA from 1 species